GAUGAAGAACGUAGCGAAAUGUGAUAAGUAAUGUGAAUUGCAGAAUUCAGUGAAUCAUCGAAUCUUUGAACGCACAUUGCGCCCGUCAGUAUUCUGGCGGGCAUGCCUGUUCGAGCGUCAUUACGCCCCUCAAGUCCCCUGUGGACUUGGUGUUGGGGAUCGGCGAGGCUGGUUUUCCAGCACAGCCGUCCCGUAAAUUAAUUGGCGGUCUCGCCGUGGCCCUCCUCUGCGCAGUAGUAAAACACUCGCAACAGGAGCCCGGCGCGGUCCACUGCCGUAAAACCCCCCAACUUUUUAUAGUUGACCUCGAAUCAGGUAGGACUACCCGCUGAACUUAAGCAUAUCAAUAAGCGGAGGA
rnacentral:misc_RNA from 1 species